AUCUUGAAGUUGGCUGUUAUUUUAAUGAUCUGUAGCUACUAAUGAGUUGUUAGUUUUCACAAUAUUGAGACAAUAACUUUCUGUGUAAUAUCAAGCAAUCAGGUUUAUUUUGUACACUUCUUGCAAUGUGAAUUAUUUUCGAUUCAUUUUCUCUGGAGUUUUAAAUUCUUUUAUUUUUCAAUAUUUCAUCGGUAUUGUUAUUCUUUUCAGGUUGAUUAUUUUGGGUUCUUGCUUCUGAGAUAUUAUUUGGUUGUCGUUGCAUUCAAACUUGGAGUUUGCCGCACUUAUUUUAAUGAUGAUACACUACGAUUAUAAAGUUCGUUAGGUUUUUAGUCGACUUGUUUUCUAAUUCCUCUUUGCGUCAAAUAUUAUUCUUCGAUUGAGUUCUAAUGUGAAUUUUCUUUUUAAUGUGUUUCAAUUUUGAUAGCACGCUUUGUUUUUAACCUGUAAUCUGGCACUGCAGAAAUUUACACGAUUCUGGAGAAAUUUUGACAGCUUUGUGGGGCUCUCUUUGUAAUUAUGACCUUUUGUUCAGUGACUUGGUUUGCCGAAUUAUUCUACUUUUCUUUAUUCUUGGUUUAUUCUACAACAAUUUGUCAUAGUAGUUUUGUUUUUCAUCUAUCUUCUUGUGUUCACGGUGCAAGUACUUAGAAGUCUCUAUCACACUGCACCUUGUUAAUUUUGUUGUGCUGCAGUUGGAGAUGAGUGCCUCUGUGCUUUGUACUACUUGUGUCCUGUAAAAUAUAAUUUUAUUAACAUUCCAUGUUUUUUGACUUUUGAUUAAAGGUUUUCUGCAAUGUGCUGCACUCAUGGAAGUUAUACACGGUGCCAUUGGUGCUGAGCGGAUCAUUGUUUCCUCUGAUGCAAUGGACAAGAAGGGCUCAGUUUGUGGUUGUCAUUGUUCAGACUUUGAUGAGGCCAGGAGUUACCUUAUGUUUUUAUAACUUUUCUUGCAUGGAGUAUAGCCGAGAGAUUAUGAAGGACAUAUUCUUGCUUUGGUGUUACAGGGGAGAGAGCCUGUGAAUGUUUUUGCUUGGUCAAUUUUCCUUGCAUCAACUUGGUGGGCCUCUCUUUGUACUAAUUAUCCACAUUGAUUUGAAGAAUUAUGCUACUAUUCCAUUGGGUGUGUCGAAUACUGAUCCACAUUGAUUUGAAGAAUUAUGCUACUUUUCCAUUGGGUGUGUCGAAUACUUCCAACUGUAAAAGGCUUAAAUUUGGUCAUUUCUACUAUGGCAUGGUUUAUUAUUUUUGGUUCCUGCUUUUGAGGUUUUAUUUGGUUGUUGUUGGUUUCAAACUUGGAGUUUACGGCUCUUGUUGGUUUCAAACUAUUAUUGAGUUUGUUAGGUUUUUCGUCGACUUAUUUUCUAGUUCAUCUUUUGUGUCAAAUAUUAUUCUUCCUUUCAUCCUUUGAGCAUGUACUCAUCAUCAGUGUUUUGCUUUUAAUAUUAUUUUUUUGCAGCAUUCUGCACUUUUGAUGUGAAUUUUAUUUUUCGAUGUGUUACCAGUUUGGGAAGCAUGCCUCGUUUUUAAUAUGUAAUCUGGAGAAAUUGGGACAGUUCUGUGGGACUCUUUGUAAUUAUGACCUUCUGAUCAGUGACUUGGUUUGGAGUAUUAUGCUACUUUUUUUUCUUCUGUUUUCUUGGUUUAUUCUACAACUAAUCGUCACAGUAAUUUUGUUGUGCAUGUAUGUAUCACCUGGUGUUUACAGUCCCAGAAGUGUCAAUCACACGGCACCUUGUCAAUUUUGUUGUGCUGAAAAUGGAGAUUAGUGCCUUUGUGCUUUGUACUACCCGUGUCCUGUGAAAUAAUUAACAAGUACACAUGAACCAUCAUGUUUUACUAGAUGUGGUAUAUAGUUUCAUCUGUGGCUGAGGUUAAUCUAACAAUCUGAUGAUUUCCAACUGCCUCUGCGCUUUGUACUACUUCUGCAUCCUUUCUUCUCUCAUUCAUUCUGGGAAUAUAAUAGGUCUUUCUCUCCUAUGUGUGAGCUGGUGUUGAAGUUUUCGUGUCAUAAGGUUUCAGUAUCCAGAACCUCGGUACUACUCUGUCAUAAGGUACAAGAUUCUGGAACAACUCUUUUCCCUUCCCAGAUGAGAAAUUUUGGACAAUUUUGGUUACGUCAUAUGCGUUGUUUGCUUUGAUGAUUUGUUCAUUGGUGACAACUUAACUUUGUUUGGAGAGAUUUUCUCUAGUCUUCUUUUGCUUGUUUUUACUGUUAGUUGUGAUAUAUGAUGAUGACCAGAAUCUCCAAUUGUUUCUUGUUUUCUGUUUGAGGAUGUAGUUUACUUGAAUCCUUUAUCAGUUUCUGUGGCAGAGAUUUUCAAGGACAUGUUCUUGCUUUGGUGCUACAGGGGAGAGAGCCUGUGAAUGUUUUUGCUCUGGUCAAUUUUCCUUGAACGCACUUGAUUCGGAAUACGUAAUCAUCAGGAUAGCUUCAGCUGUAUGUUGUACUCGUGUCCUGUGAAAUGAUUAAUAAGUGCACAUGAACCUCAUGUUUUGCUGGAUGUGGUAUAUAUUCUCAAUUGUGGCUGGCUUAAUCUUGCAAUCUGAUGAUUUUCAACUGCCUCUACGCUUUUUUCUACUUCUGCAUGCAUGCUUCUCUCAUUCAUUCUUGGGAUAUAAUUGGUCUUUUUACUUAUAUGUAUUUGUUCCCAAAUGAUAGUUCUUUGAUCGCGUGUAAGCUGGUUUUGAAGCUGUGCGUUUCAGUAUCCAGAACUUGAGUACUACUCUAUCAUAAGGUACAAGAUUCUGGAAUAACUCUUUUCCCUUCCCAGAUGAGAAAUUUUGGUUAUGUCAUAGGUGUUGUUUGCUCUGAUGAUUUAUUUGUUGGUGACAAUAGUUUCUUUUGCUGGUUUUUACUGUUAGUUGUGAUUUAUGAUGAUGAUGAUGAUGAUCCUAUAAAGAUAAUGUUUUCAUUACAGUGGCCUGGGACUCCUAUGUUUUAGGAGGAAGCCAAAAGUGUGUCAGAAAUGUGUAGUUUGUUGUGGAACCCGUGGCAGACAGGUUCACAUUGUUGUGGAAAUGUGUGGGAUAUAAUUGGUCUUUUCUUCUGGUUCUAUCUUUCUUUUGUUUGAUAUUCAUGGUUUGUAAUCUUAUUUUUUUCUGGUCUUUUGAUCGUCAUGUUUUGUAGUCUUAUUUUUUUCUGGUCUUUUGAUUUGGUUCUGGCUUUGACCGCCAUAUGUGAAUUGAAACAUGACGUUGUUUUCUGCAGUGUAGUGUCUUUUGAAACAAUAACAUUCUAAGUAGUAUCGAGCUUCAGGUUUAUUUUGCUACCAUGUACUUGGGUUGUGAAUUAUUUUCAUUUCUAUAUUGUCUAGUUGAUUUAUUUCUUUGAUCCUCAUUUGGCUUUUUGAUCUGAAUUCUGACAGUGCAAAAGUUUACAUGAUUCUUGAGGAGUUGGGAUAACUUGGUAGUCCUCUCUUUGUAAUGUUGAUCUGCAACUUGGUUUGAAGAAUUAUGCUACUAUUCUUUCUUCUUCUUUAUUUUUCUACAACCUAUUUUCACAGCGUAAUUGUUCUGUUAAUGUAUGAUGUGGUAUUGGCAGAGCAAGUUUUACAUGGGUUUGGUGUGUUACAAAAGUCUUCAUCUUUCGCAAUCAACCUACACCUUUUCAAUUAGCUUCCUGGAAUGUAGAACAUUGGAGAUGAGUUUCUUUGCCGCUUUUCUGGGAACAAAUUAACAAGGACACAUGAAUCAUUUUUUUUUAUGGUCGUGUUAUAUAAUUGCUAGGCUUUAAUUUGGGGUUCUCUUCUCGGAAUAUGAAUUAUUUACAUUUCAUUAUGUCCGUUUCAGCAUCCCCGCUUCUCGAUUCCAUUGUGAAAGCUUAGAGAGAGGUUAUCACAGACUACCUUGAGUUUUGCAUUUCUUCUAGUGUUGAAGUUUUUGUGUUUCUAUCCGGAACUUCGUUUUUACUCUGUGGUUUUGCAUACAAGCUUCCGGAGUAACUCUUCCCUUCCCAAGGAUGAAGAUUUUUGGUCAACUUGGUUAGGUGUUUGUUAUGAUGAUUUGUUUGUUGGGGAUAAAUUGGCUAAGGGAGAGAUGAUAUUCUUCUAGUGUUAUUUUCGUUGUUAUUUUGUAUUUUGUAUUUUCGUUGUUAUUUUGUUAUUUAUGAUAUUCUUCUAAAAUGAUAUCGUCAUUGUUAUAGUGGCUGGCUCUAGGAAUUAUCUGGUAUUGCAUGUGGCAAGAUAAAACCGGUAAUUUGUUUGUUGGGGAUAAGCUGGUGUUGAAGCUGUGCGUUUCAGUAUCCAGAACUUGAGUACUACUCUAUCAUAAGAGACGCGUUUAUCCGUUUUGCAGCGGGCUAGGAGAUUUUGAUGUUUAGAAUGCGUUCAUAAAAUGGACAAGAGCACAGAGCCAAUAGUUUUCAUUUGGUGAUCUUUAGUAAAUUCUUUUUGUUUCAAUCUUUAUCGAUUCAGAGAGCAUAAAUUUCAUGAUUUGUUAUUUAUUCUUAGGUGUUGCUAGAGAGGAUAUGAUUUUGAUUUACGUCUGGAUAUGCUCUCAGAAUUCACACAAUCAAACUUCUUUCGACUCUUCUUUUACUCAUCAAGAUUUUGUUUUGUAUUAUUUUUUGAUAUAAUUCUUUGUUUGAUAAUGGAGAGUUGUGUUUCUCUGUUUUGCAGUGGGCAAUAAAGUUUCGAUGGAAUGCCUUGAUAAAAUGGACAAAGAACAUGGAGCGUAAAGUUUUAAUUUGGUGAUCUCUAGUAAAUUCAUUUUGUUUCCAUAUAGUUUUUUUUUGAUAUAUCUUGUCAAACUAUUGAAAAUAAAAGAAUAUCAAAAUAUCCGUUUAUACAUUGCAGGUAGCUGAUUUCUGGAUACCUGGAACAAUUUGAUAUUAUAAUAAAAACGAUGAUAGCUACAGAUGCAUAAUCAAAUUUCUUUGACCAUUCGUUCUUUCUGAUUUUUAUUUUUGGGCUUUGAUUACAUUACACUCAAAUUGAACCGUGAACUUGUUUUUCUGCUGCAUGGUUUAUCAAAAUAAAAAAAAUGUUGAUCUUUCAUCAAGGCAUGGAGACCUCAAGUUUUGAUUUGCUUCUCUCUUUUUUAAUUAUUUUAGUUUUCAAUAACUCCAUCGCUUUUGAAUGCAUAUUUUCUUGAUAUUUUAUGUCCUUCGAUGUUGCAGGGAAGUAAUUUGUGAACACUGAUUCCUUCUGUUACUGGUUCUAUCUUUCUGUUGUUUGAUCUUCAUGUUUUGUAUUCUUAUUCUUUUCUGGUCUUCUGAUUUUGUUUUGGCUUAGACCGCCAUACAUGUGAAUUGAAAUAUGACACGCUGUUUUCUGCAGUGUAGUUUGUUUUGAAACAAUAUCAUUCUAAGUAGCAUCAAGCAUCAGGUUUAUUUUGCUACCAUGUACUUGGGUUGUGAACUAUUUUUAUUUUCAUUUCUAUUCUUAUUGUCUAGUCGAUUUACUUCAUUGUUCUAUGUUUGACUUUUUUUUAUCUGAAUUCUGACAGUGCAAAAGUUUACACGAUUCUAUGUUUGUCUGAUGAUUUGGUCGUUGGAAAAGGAUUUAUAUUAUCUUCUUUUAUUGGUUUGAGUGGUUUCAAUUGUUAUUAAUGAUUUAGAUGAUGAUUGAUACAGAUGAUACUCCUAAAAAGUUAUCCUUUUGGUUACUACAGUGGUCCGGGACUCCUCUGUUAGGAGGGAGCCAAAAUUGUGUCACACAUCAUGUGCAGGCUUUAAUUGGGUUAUCUCCUCUAAGACUCUUUACAUUUCAGUCUAUGUUGGAUACUUAGCAUCCACUUUUGUCAGUUUCAUUUAGUUUUCUGUGUGGGUUAAACAGGAGAUAAAUGUGUGGGGUGCCCGUGGAACCUGAGGCAGACAAAGGUUCUCAUACUUUUUUUGUGCUUUAGGAAUUUCAGUAUUACAUUUUCAAAACAACGCAGGCAGAUACUGCACGAACGAGUAGCUAAUCUAUGGCUUCCAGGUGAUGCUGUAGUGGGGGGAGGGAAAUCAAUGAAAGAGAACGGUGCAGCAGGUUAAGGAAGGAACCGAACAUCACUUCUUGAUAUUGGAAAUGUGGUCACUCUAAAAGGUGUUGAAGUCAAGCCAAAUCGCCCUGUCACAAGGUUAGUGAUGAUGACCCCCUAUUUGAUUUUGAUGAUUCUUUAGUUGUGUUUGUCACAACUACUUGCCAAUGCUCAAGCAGCAGCAGUUAAUGAGAAUAACAAGGUUCUCUUAUAUUAUUUGUUGAAUCUUUUUCUUUUAAUUGAUUUAAUUUAAU